GACCCACUGGGAAUGUGAUGAAAUAAAUAAAAGCUGAAAUAAAUCAUUCUCUCUACUAUUAUUCUGAUUUCUGAUUAUUCUGAUUUCACAUUCUUAAAAUAAAGUGCUGAUUCUAACUGAACUAAAACAAAGAAUUUGUACUAGGAUUAAAUGUCAGGAAUUGUGAAAAACUGAGUUCAAAUGUAUUUGGCUAAGGUGUAUGGUAACUUCCGACUUCAACUGUACAUAGGUAUUCCAACAAUUUGGCUAUGAUUUGUAUAGCAAAAACACUAUAUCAUUAUUUGAAGUUAUAUUUUUUUGCUAGUUUGUAAGUGGAAUAUUUACCUCUUGAUAUGUAGGGUAGACCUGGCAUUGAUGGAAAGAGAGGUCUGGCUGGAAAAGAUGUGAGCAUUUUUUUCUCUUUGUCAAAUAAUUUUGUAUUUUUUUUAAUGUUCCUGCUCUGUUCCAGCAUUUUAAUGAGAUCACUUAAAAAAUACCCACAAAUACCCCAAAAUGAAGUCCUCCUAAUUCUUCUCUUGAGACAGGGAGAGCAAGGACAAAGAGGAGAUGAUGGCAAAAAGGUAUGAUUUGGAGCAAGUCUGGCUAUUCCCCAAACACACCAACACAAUAAACCAUAUUUGUGAUUUUGCAUCUCUAACCCUAGGGUGAUACAGGUGAAUCGGGAGCUGAGGUAAGAUAUUUUAUUUUAAUAAGGCAGUAUUAAUUAUCAUCAAAUUAUUAACAUGAUAAUUAAGCCCAAUUGUUAAUUUCUCCUAUCUCCCCCCAGGGUAAAAAAGGGGAAUUGGGUGCUCCGGGCCCACCUGGUACCCAUGUUCUGGUCACUCAACAAGAGGGUGCCACCCUUGAAGAGAUGAGACAGGCAUUCCCUUUGCCAAUGGGACCUCCUGGGGCUAAAGGUCCACCAGGGAUGAAGGGUGACGCUGGUCUUCCAGGGAAAGCAGCUGACAUGAAGAACAUUGAAGUAAUGUUUGAAGACUAUGGCAUAAGGCUGCCCUUGCUGAAGGCACUGAUUGACAGGCUGCUGCAGGACGGCAUGGAGGAGCUUCUGCAGGAGCUAACCACCUCUAGAAGAGUCAAUGAGAAGGAGAAACACGGCUCCAACAUUAUCACUGACUACACAGUAUGUACACAGUCCAUGCAUAUCUCUUCAACCCUAAUCACACCAGGGGACAUACCUGGUCAUUUAGUGGGUUAUUCCUGGGAGAAGUUCAAUACGGACAAUUGAAAUUGGAAUGUCAAUUAUCUUUCUGAAUUGACUGAAUUGAAAUGUAAUUUAACAUAACCCUGGUGACAAGCCUGGUAUCAGAACUCUUAGAUAGUGCUGGACUCAUGAGUGUGUUAGUGUUGGUCUCAUGAGUGUGUUAGUGUUGGACUCAUGAGUGUGUUAGUGUUGGACUCAUGAGUGUGUUAGUGUUGGACUCAUGAGUGUGUUAGUNNNNNNNNNNUUAUGUUUGAAGCCUGAAAUGUGGCAAAAGGUCGCAAAGUUCAAGGGGGCCGAAUACUUUCGCAAGGCACUGUAUAUAUACCAGUCAAAAGUUUGGACACACCUACUCAUUCAAGGGUUUUUCUUUCUUUUUACUGUUUUCUACAUUGGAGAAUAAUAGUGAAGACAUCACAACUAUGAAAUAACACAUAUGGAAUCAUGUAGUAACCAAAAAAGUGAUAAACAAGUCUAAAUAUAUUUUAGAUUUGAGAUUCUUCAAAGUAAUCACCUUUUGCCUUGAUGACAGGUUUGCACACUCUUGGCANNNNNNNNNNU
rnacentral:lncRNA from 13 species